rnacentral:rRNA from 1 species
UACGGAGGGUGCGAGCGUUGUCCGGAAUCAUUGGGCGGAAAGGGCGCGUAGGUGGCGGGACAAGCGUGCGGUGAAAGCCUGGGGCUCAACCCCGGGUCGGCCGUGCGAACUGUUUUGCUUGAGCACUGUAGAGGCAGGCGGAAUUCCGGGUGUAGCGGUGGAAUGCGUAGAGAUCCGGAAGAACACCGGUGGCGAAGGCGGCCUGCUGGGCAGUAGCUGACACUGAGGCGCGACAGCGUGGGGAGCGGACAGG